UCGAGAAGUACAGACGUGUCAACAGUCACUAAUAAUGAAGCUGCUGUGCUUGUUCGUGCUUGUAGCGCUAUGUGCCGCUCUGUGUGCUGCCCAGCCAGUUGACAAUCUAGCCACCGACUACUUAGAAGCUUCACACAUAAGGACCAGAAGGCAAGCUUUUAUACAAAAUGGCCCAUGCCCAUGCCCUCAAAAUUAUGUUGAAGUAUUACAGCAAUGUGUUGAGUGUAAAACAUAUCUGGAAAACACAGGAGAAGAUGAGUGUCCUGUUUGUACUAAAUAAAUGCCCCAAUAUUAUGCCAGAAGAGAGUUUCAGAAGAACACCUACAUAUCAUUUAGUUUAAUUUCACUGGAGUAUAAUUUAAUCAUUAUGGUAUAUCAAUUAUACAUGUAAAUAAUGUUUAAAACAAAGUGUUUAUUUAUAAGGAUCAGUAUAUGAAGAUGAAUGUUUAGACAGUUAUCAGGACUUUUGUAAAUAUAUGAAAACAAAGACGAAGUGUGUUGAGAAUUUAGGCUAAGUAAAAUAUAAUUAAUAAGAGUAGAAAUGAAUUUAAUGAA